rnacentral:rRNA from 1 species
UACGUAGGGGGCAAGCGUUGUCCGGAUUUAUUGGGCGUAAAGAGCGUGUAGGCGGCCGUACAGGUCAGCUGUGAAAACUCGAGGCUCAACCUCGAGACGUCGGUUGAAACCGUACGGCUAGAGUCCGGAAGAGGAGAGUGGAAUUCCACGUGUAGCAGUGAAAUGCGUAGAGAUGUGGAGGAACACCGAUGGCGAAGGCAGCCUCCUGGGCCAGCACUGACGCUCAUGCACGAAAGCGUGGGGAGCAAACAGG